UGCGCAGGCGGAACUUUAAGUCAGUGGUGAAAUCUUGCCGCUUAACGGUAAAAUUGCCAUUGAUACUGAAGUUCUUGAAUAUGGUUGAGGUAGGCGGAAUGUGUUGUGUAGCGGUGAAAUGCAUAGAUAUGACACAGAACUCCGAUUGCGAAGGCAGCUUACUAAACCAUCAUUGACGCUGAGGCACGAAAGCGUGGGGAGCGAACAGGAUUAGAUACCCUGGUAGUCC
rnacentral:rRNA from 1 species